rnacentral:rRNA from 1 species
GAUGAACGCUGGCGGCGUGCCUAAUACAUGCAAGUCGAGCGAACGGACGCUACGCUUGCUUCUCUGUUGUUAGCGGCGCACGUGAGAGUAACACGUGGAUACCCUCCCUAUAAUACUGGGAUAACUUCGGGAAACCGGCUCUAAUCCCGUAUAAUCUUUUGCACCGUAUGGUUCAAAAGUGAAAUACGGCCUUUCUGUCUCUUCUCGCUGCUUCCGCGCUGCAUUAUCUGGUUGGUAAGUUAACGGCUUACCAAGGCAACGAUGCAUAGCCGACCUGAGAGGGGGAUCGGCCACACGGGAACUGAGACACGGUCCAGACUCCUACGGGAGGCAGCAGUAGGGAAUCUUCCGCAAUGGGCGAAAGCCUGACGGAGCAACGCCGCGUGAGUGAUGAAGGUCUUCGGAUCGUAAAACUCUGUUAUUAGGGAAGAACAUAUGUGUAAGUAACUGUGCACAUCUUGACGGUACCUAAUCAGAAAGCCACGGCUAACUACGUG